rnacentral:lncRNA from 1 species
CUCAUUGUCAAGAUGGAACCUCAUAUGGUUGAGUAACUCUUGUUCAAACCCAUUAAAAACUGGAUGACCUUCUCUUUUUCCUCCCUUUCUGCACGUAUCUUAGAUCCCUCGCAUUCACAAGCAAUUGGCUCAUGGUAUGAUGCUAAUUCGUCCCAAAGAGCCUUCAACUUUGUGUAAUAAUCUGAAACGAAUAGUUGUCCUUGUCGGUGUCCGACAAUUUCUUGUCAAAUUUGAUAGAUCCUUGAAUUGUUCCCUUGCGAGAAUCAAUCCUCAAAAUCCUUCCAUGAUGCUAAUGUGGAUUUGUAGUAGAGUAUACUGCGAACGCUUUUGCCUUGCAUAGAUUGCCAAAUCCAUAACAAUACCAUGUCGUUGCAUCUCUACCAAAUUGAAUACUUGGCAUUAGAGAUUGCAGGGCUCUUGAUUGAUCCAUCAAUAAACCCAAGUUUGUUCUUGGCGCUAAGAACGAUGCGCAUAGAGUGGCUCCGCUGUCCAUAGUUGUGUCCAUCAAGAAGUUGUGAGACUAAAACAAGACUUGGUGAAUCUGAGUGGUGUAAGAUGAUUGGAUCGAAUGCAUGUGGCAUCGCCUCUAUUGAUUUUUGUCACUCAUGUUAGUGUGUUUAAUAGAAAGAAUUUGGGUUGCGUUUGUAGCGGAAGUGGAAUGGGCUUUUAGAGUCACCAAGAUCAGUGCUCUGAUGCUAUAUCAAAUUGUUAUGUGAAGUAUUUUGUAUUGCAUAACUAAAGCUAUGUAGAGGUAUGAAUUUAUACAAGAAUUGUGAUG